rnacentral:rRNA from 1 species
AUACGAAGGGGGCUAGCGUUGUUCGGAAUUACUGGGCGUAAAGCGCGCGUAGGCGGACUGAUCAGUUGGGGGUGAAAUCCCAGGGCUUAACCCUGGAACUGCCUCCAAUACUGUCAGUCUUGAGUUCGGGAGAGGUGAGUGGAAUUCCUAGUGUAGAGGUGAAAUUCGUAGAUAUUAGGAAGAACACCAGUGGCGAAGGCGGCUCACUGGCUCGAUACUGACGCUGAGGCGCGAAAGCGUGGGGAGCAAACAGGAUUAGAAACCCCAGUAGUCC